rnacentral:rRNA from 1 species
UGAACGCUAGCGACAGGCUAACACAUGCAAGUCGAGGGGUAACAGGGUAGCAAUACCGCUGACGACCGGCGCACGGGUGAGUAACGCGUAUGCAACCUGCCUAUAACUGGGGAAUAGCUCCCUGAAAGGGGAAUUAACACCGCAUAACACUAUUGAUUCGCAUGGAUUAGUAGUUAAAUGUAGCGAUACAGGUUAUAGAUGGGCAUGCGUGACAUUAGCUAGUUGGUGAGGUAACGGCUCACCAAGGGCUACGAUGUCUAGGGGUUCUGAGAGGAAGGUCCCCCACACUGGUACUGAGACACGGACCAGACUCCUACGGGAGGCAGCAGUGAGGAAUAUUGGUCAAUGGGCGCAAGCCUGAACCAGCCAUGUCGCGUGCAGGAAGACUGCCCCUAUGGGUUGUAAACUGCUUUUAUAGUAGAAGAAACACAUCUACGCGUAGAUGUCUGCCAGUAUACUAUGAAUAAGCAUCGGCUAACUCCGUGCCAGCCGCCGC